UCGGGAAUUUUGGGCAAUGGGCGAAAGCCUGACCCAGCAACGCCGCGUGAAGGAUGAAGUAUUUCGGUAUGUAAACUUCGAAAGAAUAGGAAGAAUAAAUGACGGUACUAUUUAUAAGGUCCGGCUAACUACGUGCCAGCAGCCGCGGUAAUACGUAGGGACCAAGCGUUGUUCGGAAUUACUGGGCGUAAAGGGCGCGUAGGCGGUCGAGUAAGUCGGAUGUGAAAUCCCCGGGCUUAACCUGGGAAUUGCAUUCGAUACUGCUUGGCUAGAGUGUGGAAGAGGGAAGCGGAAUUUCCGGUGUAGCGGUGAAAUGCGUAGAUAUCGGAAGGAACACCAGUGGCGAAGGCGGCUUCCUGGACCGACACUGACGCUGAGGCGCGAAAGCUAGGGGAGCAAACGGGAUUAGAUACCCACGUAGUCCCUGAGCGGGCUGGCAAGGCGCAU
rnacentral:rRNA from 1 species